GCCAUAUCACAUUGAAACACCUGUUCCUGUAUGAUCACUGAAGUUAAGCAAUGUCAAGCCCAGUCAGUACCUAGAUGGAUGACCAUUUGGGAAUAUUAGGUGCUGUAAG